GCAUGCUUGAGAAAGGUGUUCUAGCCAGCCUUUCUCCCUGAUACUCUACUUAUCUAAGAGCAGGGAUGGGGAGGGCCGGGUAUGAGAAAGCAUUUGGUUUUGUGACUACAACCUCUAGUCUGAAGAUGCUCAAUUUGUACCCACGUCUACCACACCCGCGAGGGACAAGAUUCAUGGAACGAGGAGGAGACCUGAUUUGAUCAGUUUAAUUUUAGCUGCCUAUUAUUGCCUUCUUUGUAUGAUUACCGAAUUCAGCUAUAGUAAUCCACGGGAGCUGAAUGGAGGGUCGCCAACUUCCAGGUGGGGUCUGGAGAUCUGGGAUUACAACUGACCUCCAGGCUAGGGAAACCAGUUCCCGUGGCAAAAGUGGCUGUUUCUGUAUUUCACGAGCAAAUGUUUCACAUGUCAGUAGUCAUGCGGAUGGUGCUUAUAGAACACUUGGUCCUAGUAAUCUCUUUAGGACUGAUUAAUCUAGAGGUGUCCAACUCUGGCGCCCCAGAUGUUCACGGACUACGAUUUCCAUCAGUCCCUGCCAAUUGGCCAUGCUAGCAGGGACUGAUGGAAAUCGAAGUCCAAGAACAUCUGGGGUGCCGGAGUUGGACACCCCUGGAUUAAGUCCUUGUUCCUACUGUUCUUCUGAGGGUGAGUGUGUGCCAUCACAGUGUUUCCGUUCAGCAAGAAAUGCGGAGCGGGUAGGUUUGAAUACUAUUUCCCCUCUUGUGCAGGGAUCUUUCUUGAUUCUAGUCAAAGUCAGCACAUGACAUCUAGGCAUCCCGUGGGCCUAUUCCACUUCUUGAAACAGGCCGGGAGGAAGUUUUUCUCUGGGUCGUACCUUCCGUUUUGUGUUUGUGUGCUCCAUUUUUUUAAACGAUGUUUUGGGUAAGGUGCAGAGUUUGUUUCACCUUGGAAGUAUUUGGACACGGAAAAACGGACAGAAUGAGUAAGUUUCAGUACCAAAGGUGGAAGAGGGAGGGUAUCCAGAGGGCGGGAAGGAAGCCCAGGGGUUGGGCUUGUGGAUCAGGGCUGCUCUUGCAGGGACGCUCGACACCACAGAAAAUAAAUGCCAACAAGUAUCCAUGGCCAUAGAGCAUCGAAGUCUGCUGCACCAUCCAGAUUUUCUUGUUUUUUUACUGGUUCUUCCUGCGUUGAAAAGAUUCAUAAAUUGCUGUUUGUUCCUCCAUAAAAGUAGUGCCUUACGUUUCCAAGA